AUACGUAGGGUGCGAGCGUUAAUCGGAAUUACUGGGCGUAAAGCGUGCGCAGGCGGUUUUGUAAGACAGUGGUGAAAUCCCCGGGCUCAACCUGGGGACUGCCAUUGUGACUGCAAGGCUGGAGUGCGGCAGAGGGGGAUGGAAUUCCGCGUGUAGCAGUGAAAUGCGUAGAUAUGCGGAGGAAUACCGAUGGCGAAGGCAAUCCCCUGGGCCUGCACUGACGCUCAUGCACGAAAGCGUGGGGAGCAAACAGGAUUAGAUACCCUGGUAGUCCACGCCCUAAACGAUGUCAACUGGUUGUUGGGGAUUUAUUUUCUCAGUAACGAAGCUAACGCGUGAAGUUGACCGCCUGGGGAGUACGGCCGCAAGGUUAAAACUCAAAUGAAUUGACGGGG
rnacentral:rRNA from 1 species